rnacentral:rRNA from 1 species
GUUGGGUAGGGGAGCGUUCUGUAAGCCUGCGAAGGUGUACUGUGAGGUAUGCUGGAGGUAUCAGAAGUGCGAAUGCUGACAUAAGUAACGAUAAUGCGGGUGAAAAACCCGCACGCCGGAAGACCAAGGGUUCCUGUCCAACGUUAAUCGGGGCAGGGUGAGUCGACCCCUAAGGCGAGGCUGAAAAGCGUAGUCGAUGGGAAACGGGUUAAUAUUCCCGUACUGGUGGUAACUGCGAUGGGGGAACGGAGAAGGCUAGGUUGUCCGGGCGACGGUCGUCCCGGUUCAAGCAGGUAGGCAGAGUGAUUAGGCAAAUCCGGUCACUUAAUGCUGAGAUGUGAUGACGAACCACCAAGGUGGUGAAGCAAUUGAUGCCCCGCUUCCAGGAAAAGCCUCUAAGCUUCAGGUUACCAACAAUCGUACCCCAAACCGACACAGGUGGUCAGGUAGAGAAUACUCAGGCGCUUGAGAGAACUCGGGUGAAGGAACUAGGCAAAAUGGUGCCGUAACUUCGGGAGAAGGCACGCUGGCGGUAGGUAAAGUCCCUCGCGGACAGAGCUGAAGCCAGUCGAAGAUACCAGCUGGCUGCAACUGUUUAUUAAAAACACAGCACUGUGCAAACACGAAAGUGGACGUAUACGGUGUGACGCCUGCCCGGUGCUGGAAGGUUAAUUGAUGGGGUCAGCCGUAAGGCGAAGCUCCUGAUCGAAGCCCCAGUAAACGGCGGCCGUAACUAUAACGGUCCUAAGGUAGCGAAAUUCCUUGUCGGGUAAGUUCCGACCUGCACGAAUGGCGUAAUGAUGGCCAGGCUGUCUCCACCCGAGACUCAGUGAAAUUGAACUCGCUGUGAAGAUGCAGUGUACCCGCGGCAAGACGGAAAGACCCCGUGAACCUUUACUAUAGCUUGACACUGAACAUUGAGCCUUGAUGUGUAGGAUAGGUGGGAGGCUUUGAAGUGUGGACGCCAGUCUGCAUGGAGCCAACCUUGAAAUACCACCCUUUAACGUUUGAUGUUCUAACCUAGGCCCAUAAACUGGGUCGGGGACCGUGUCUGGUGGGUAGUUUGACUGGGGCGGUCUCCUCCUAAAGAGUAACGGAGGAGCACGAAGGUUGGCUAAGCAUGGUCGGACAUCAUGCGGUUAGUGCAAAGGCAUAAGCCAGCUUGACUGCGAGAGUGACGGCUCGAGCAGGUACGAAAGUAGGUCUUAGUGAUCCGGUGGUUCUGAAUGGAAGGGCCAUCGCUCAACGGAUAAAAGGUACUCCGGGGAUAACAGGCUGAUACCGCCCAAGAGUUCAUAUCGACGGCGGUGUUUGGCACCUCGAUGUCGGCUCAUCACAUCCUGGGGCUGAAGUAGGUCCCAAGGGUAUGGCUGUUCGCCAUUUAAAGUGGUACGCGAGCUGGGUUUAGAACGUCGUGAGACAGUUCGGUCCCUAUCUGCCGUGGGCGUUGGAAGAUUGAGAGGGGUUGCUCCUAGUACGAGAGGACCGGAGUGAACGCACCACUGGUGUUCGGGUUGUCAUGCCAAUGGCAUUGCCCGGUAGCUAAGUGCGGAAGAGAUAACCGCUGAAAGCAUCUAAGCGGGAAACUUGCCUCGAGAUGAGUCUUCCCUGUCGCUAUAAGCGACCUAAAGGAACGUAUAAGACUAAGACGUUGAUAGGCUGGGUGUGAAAGCGUAGCGAUACGUUGAGCUAACCAGUACUAAUGAA